GAAGGUAUAGCUCAGAGGUAGAGCACAUGCUUAGCAUGUGCAAGGUCCAGGGUUCAAUCCCCAGUACCUCCA
rnacentral:tRNA from 1 species